rnacentral:rRNA from 1 species
GACUGGGAAGGAUCAUUACCGAGUGAGGGCCCUCUGGGUCCAACCUCCCACCCGUGUUUAUUUUACCUUGUUGCUUCGGCGGGCCCGCCUUAACUGGCCGCCGGGGGGCUUUGCCCCCGGGCCCGCGCCCGCCGAAGACACCCUCGAACUCUGUCUGAAGAUUGAAGUCUGAGUGAAAAUAUAAAUUAUUUAAAACUUUCAACAACGGAUCUCUUGGUUCCGGCAUCGAUGAAGAACGCAGCGAAAUGCGAUACGUAAUGUGAAUUGCAAAUUCAGUGAAUCAUCGAGUCUUUGAACGCACAUUGCGCCCCCUGGUAUUCCGGGGGGCAUGCCUGUCCGAGCGUCAUUGCUGCCCUCAAGCCCGGCUUGUGUGUUGGGCCCCGUCCUCCGAUCCCGGGGGACGGGCCCGAAAGGGCAGCGGCGGCACCGCGUCCGGUCCUCGAGCGUAUGGGGCUUUGUCACCCGCUCUGUAGGCCCGGCCGGCGCUUGCCGAUCAACCCAAAUUUUUAUCCAGGUUGACCUCGGAUCAGGUAGGGAUACCCGCUGAACUUAAGCAUAUCAAUA